ACAUCCAGAGAAUUUAGCAGAGNUGCUUUAGUGCCUUCGGGAACUCUGAGACAGGUGCUGCAUGGCUGUCGUCAGCUCGUGUUGUGAAAUGUUGGGUUAAGUCCCGCAACGAGCGCAACCCUUAUCCUUUGUUGCCAGCACGUAAUGGUGGGAACUCAAAGGAGACUGCCGGUGAUAAACCGGAGGAAGGUGGGAUGACGUCAAGUCAUCAUGGCCCUUACGAGUAGGGCUACACACGUGCUACAAUGGCGCAUACAAAGAGAAGCGACCUCGCGAGAGCAAGCGGACCUCAUAAAGUGCGUCGUAGUCCGGAUUGGAGUCUGCAACUCGACUCCAUGAAGUCGGAAUCGCUAGUAAUCGUAAAUCAGAAUGUUACGGUGAAUACGUUCCCGGGCCUUGUACACACCGCCCGUCACACCAUGGGAGUGGGUUGCAAAAGAAGUAGAUAGCUUAACCUUCGGGAGGGCGUUUACCACUUUGUGAUUCAUGACUGGGGUGAAGUCGUAACAAGGUAAGCGUAGUGCU
rnacentral:rRNA from 1 species